rnacentral:rRNA from 1 species
CUGAGGCUAAAACCGGAUAGGGGAAAAAUUCUGGAAUGAAUUUUCCUUUAAAAGUAAUGCUUAAGGAUAAGUCGGCGGCGGAUUAGGUUGUUGGCGGGGUAAAGGCCCACCAAGCCGAAGAUCCGUAGGGGCCAUGAGAGUGGUAGCCUCGAGAAGGACACUGAGAUACUGGUCCUAGCCCUACGGGGUGCAGCAGGCGCGAAACCUUUGCAAUGCACGAAAGUGUGAUAAGGGAACCCUAAGUGCUUAUGUAUUACAUAGGCUUUUUUUUAAGUGUAAAUAGCUUAGCGAAUAAGGAGUGGGCAAGACUGGUGCCAGCCGCCGCGGUAACACCAGCGCUCCAAGUGGUGACCAUUUUUAUUGGGCCUAAAGCGUCCGUAGCCUGUUCAGUAAAUCUUUCGUGAAAUCGUUGGGCUUAACUCAACGGCGUGCAGAAGAAACUGCUGGACUUGGAACCGGGAGGAGCUAGAAGAAUGUUAGGGGGAGCGGUAAAAUGCUAUAAUCCCUAAUGGACUACCUGUGGCGAAGGCGUCUAGCUAGAACGGUUUCGACGGUGAGGGACGAAAGCUAGGGGAGCAAAACGGAUUAGAUACCCGAGUAGUCCUAGCUGUAAACGUUGCGAGCAAGGUGUUACAUAUUCUUCGUGAAUAUGUAGUGUCGAAGUGAAGACGUUAAGCUCGCCGCCUGGGAAGUAUGGUCGCAAGGCUGAAACUUAAAGGAAUUGGCGGGGAGACACCACAAGGGGUGCGGCGUGCGGUUUAAUCUAAUUCAACGCAGAGAAUCUCACCAGGGGCGACGGCAGGAUGAAAGUCAGGCUAAAGGCUUUACUUGACGAGCCGAGAGGUAGUGCAUGGCCGUCGUCAGCUCGUGCCGUAAGGUGUCCUGUUAAGUCAGGCAACGAGCGAGACCUAUACCUACAAUUGCUAACAGGUUUUACGACUGAGCACAUUGUGGGGACUGCCUUGGAAACAAGGAGGAAGGUGUAGGCUACGGUAGGUCUGUAUGCUCCGAAUCUUCUGGGCUACACGCGCGCAACAAUGGUAAGGACAAUGGGAUGCGACUCCGAAAGGAGAAGCUAAUCUUGGAAACCUUAUCUCAGUCUAGAUUGAGGAUUGUAACUCAUCCUCAUGACAAUGGAAUCCCUAGUAAUCAGACGUCAUCAUCGUCUGGUGAAUAUGUCCCUGUCUCUUGUACACACCGCCCGUCAAACCAUCUGAGUAGGGUUUAGGUGAGGUAUAAUUUAUGAUUAUAUCGAAUCUAAACUCCGCGAGGCAGGUUAAGUCGUCACAAGGUC